UACGAAGGGGGCUAGCGUUGCUCGGAAUGACUGGGCGUAAAGGGCGCGUAGGCGGAUUGUACAGUCAGGCGUGAAAUUCCCGGGCUCAACCUGGGGGCUGCGCUUGAGACGUGCGAUCUUGAGUGGGGAAGAGGGUCGUGGAAUUCCCAGUGUAGAGGUGAAAUUCGUAGAUAUCGGGAGGAACACCAGUGGCGAAGGCGGCGACCUGGGCCAAUAUUGACGCUGAGGUGCCGAAAGCGUGGGGAGCAAACAGG
rnacentral:rRNA from 1 species